AUUAUAUUUGGCUUAGGAGUUGUUUGGUUCUACGUAAAACAGUGAAAAAUAGUUUUUGGUGGAAAAAAAAAAGUUUUACGUUUUGUAGUGUUUGGUUUGUAGGAAAAAAAGUAGUUGUCGAUCAAUAUUUGUUUGGUCGAAAGGGAAAAAAAAAUAUCUACAUUUGUUUGGUUGGGUGGAAAAAAAUGAAUGGAAAAAGUUUUACGUAGCUUGAGUUUUCGUGUUCCGUUGAAAAACAACAGAAAACGAAAGCUUACAAUUUUUUCCCAAAUCCGUUAAAAUACUUUUGGUUACCGUUUGGUUCGGGGUUAAGGAAAAACUAGUUAUUCCAGAAAUAGGGUUAAGUUUAGGGUUAAGGUGGGGUUAGAGUAUUUUUGUGUUUGGUUGAGAAUUGGAGUUAGUCCAGGAUUAAAGAAAAUAGUGUUUGAUUGGAGUAGGUGGAAUAAGAAGGAUAGUAGGUAAAAUAGUGUUUUGUUUGGUUGGAGUAGUCGGGUGGGGUGGGGUUAGCUGGGGUUAGCUAACCCCACUCCAAAUAGGCUAUCCCGGGUUAGCCCAUUUGGGGUGGGAUUAGCUAACCCCACCCCCCUAAAAUCAUGUUUGGGAAUAAAACCGGGGUUAAGGGGUUAUCCCACCCCUUAACCCCGAACCGAACACAAGCUUGGGGGAAAAUGUUUUUACGUCGAACCAAACAAGCGAAAAGCAUUUUUCAUGGAGAAAACAAUUUUCUGUUUGUUUUACGCUAAGGGCGUGUUUGGAUCCAUGUAAAACUAGUCCGAAAAUUUUUUUUUCAGUUGAAAAAUAUUUUUCCUUUGUUUGGUUCUCUGUAAAAAAUUUUUCCCGGAAAACUUUUUUUACGAAUAUGCGGAAAACUCGCGUUUUCGUUUUCCGCUCCGUCCGAGCGGAAAACGAAAAACUACAGGGAAAAAGUCGCGGCUCACAAGCACGGCUCACAUCUUUUAAAAUAUAAUUAAACUUUAUUAAAAUUUAUUAAUUAACAAUGCACAUAAACAUGCAUAUGAGUUGAUCACAUAUAUAUAUAUAUAUAUAUAUAUUUUAAUUUUUCCCUCUCUCUCGAUCCAAGUGACGAGAGAGAGAGAGAGCCAGGUGCUCCACUUUGUGUGGAGCACCUGGCGCACGUUNUAAUAUAUAAAUUAUAAUAAUUAAAUAUAUUAUGAUAAUUAUUAUAUAUUAAUAAUAUAUAAUAUAUAUAAUUAGAGAAAAUAUAUAUAAUAAUUAUAAUAUACUAAUAAUAUAUAUAAUAAAAAAUAUAUUAAAUAGUUUUUCAUCUACUUUUCUUUUUCUUUCAACCAAACAACUGUCAUGGAAAAUUGCCUUUCUUUUUCUACAAACCAAACACAAACGAUGUAAAACUUUUUUCCACCGAAAAUUUUUUUUCCACAGUUUUACGUGGAACCAAACACACCCCAAACCAAACACCCCUUAGGGAUGUUAGAAAUUUCUUGGGAUAAAGGCCUAGAUAUGGGAAUAGCAGAAUCUGUCAUGCCAAUGGAAUUGCUAUCACCGAGAAUAAAUUUUGUUGUAUGUUUUCCCCUAUUCCAAUCCUGGGUAAUGCCACCUUUGUUUUUGUUGGCUAUAAUGGGAAUAUCUACCACUAUCUCCACUCUAUUUCUCAACCACACACUGCUUUAAUUGGUACCCAUCUUGUUUUAAAUGCUGUGAAGUUCGCUUUGGAGGAAGACAUAAAGAGGUCUUUGCUUGUUCAUUCUGGGAAACAAUUGUUGCAACUGGUUUCUGAGGAUUACAAAAUAAGAGAAAUUGAUUCUUAAGAAUUUUAAGAGGCUUUUGGAUUUAUGAUGAUAUUGCUGAGGAACUCUUUUUUCAGUUUUUGCUUUUGUUUUUUUUUUUUUUCUCUAAUUACCAAGUAAUAUGUUCCAUAAUUUAAAUAAUUGUGCUGGUUUCUUCAGGGUCCUAAAUCUGGAGAGGCAACCUCGGCCACACCCAAAGGCCCAGAGGUCGAGGCCAAUCCGAGCGGCACACCAGGGUCAUCAACAUCUGGUGUUUCGACUGACACCAAUAGGAACUAUGCUGUUUUGGCUGGUACGAUCGCCGCUGUUUCUGGAUUGGGUUGGUACCUCUUGUCCAAACCCAAGAAAUCUGAUGAAGUUGUGGACUGAGAGCCAAAAAGAUUGACCUACAUUAACGGUUCGGUUUCUUCUUUGCAAGUUGAUUGCAAAACCUCGUCUUUUUUUGUUGAACUUAUCGGCCUCCUUUAUGCACUAGCAGACUAUACUGACUUGCUCACAAGUAUAAUCUCUUGUAUGUUUUGCUCUUGGACUUUUCUGGAAUUUUGAUGGAGAAAAUAAUUGUUCAUGACAAUUGCUGAAUACAAUACAGGACAUACUAUUUCUUUGCUCCAAAUGGACCGUCGUUUUCCCCUCUUCUUCUUCUUCUUCCAUUUAUUUUUGUUUUAAAGAUUUGUUGUAUCCAUAUCUUAAGACCUAUUAGAUAGUUGUUUCUGAAACUGCCGAGUGGAAGCACAUUGUUAGGGCCUUUGUAAUACGUGUAUAUUCUUCCACAGGACGGCUUUUCAGCGGUUUCCCUAGCAAGGUUUUGAGUACGUUUAAGGAGGUUUUUGUUCUUCAAUCUGCCAGAACUCUUGGUGGGAGUCAUUUGAGGGGAUUCCACUCUUUCUGGAAUAAGAAUCGAAAUGGAAGUCUCUCAUAACAAAUAGCGACAACGUGAGUUCCUUAUUACGGUUCUCAUUCCUGUCAUUCCGAUUCUUAUUCUAGACUCAAAAUUCGCUGAACCAAACAGGUCCUUGGUAUCAAUGGUUGAGGGAUUCUUCAGUUACCCUAGAAUCAAAAUUAACAUUGUAUUAGGAAGAAAUUCAAUCUAGGAAACAACGACAAUGGAGGAGUUCAAUCCACAAAACAACGGCAAUAUGAAUUGCUGAUUUUAUUCUAAAUUUUAUUCCAAGCUCCAAAUCUAUUGAACGAAACUUGCUACCCUAGGUGUCAAAAUGCGUUCAUUUUCUUAUUAUGGCUGCAUUAAGAUGUCUUUCUUUCAUCCAGUCACGACUCACGAGAUAAUUUUAUUUGGCCAAAGUGCAGAUCAUCCUUUUGAAUAUUCUGCAUUCGAGAUCAUUGAAAAUCUGGAGAAAAUUCAUUUAAAUCUUCGUGCUCUCCUUACUCGUUCUCUUUUUGUAAAUUUAACGUCCAUCAAAAAUUAAGUUGUUCUAAUUUUUUUUUGUUUUUUGAUGGAACCGGGAUUAAUCCCUGUUUAUGAUUAAAGAAAAGGUGAGUACAAAAUAGGUAAAGAAGAAAAGUAGAGUGCAGGGAAAAAAAAAAAGGUUGGCUAUUGUAACCCGAAAAGUUGAUUUGCAAUAAUCCCGUUCAGUGCUUUGUUGGAACAACAUCCACCAGAUUUCAAAUUCUUGUAAAAUUCGUUUAGCUAUCGCUCUCCAAUCUAUGCGCAUAUUUUAAAAUAUUUGUUGGUUACUGUUAGUGCUAUAAAAAUUGCGCCAUAUGGUGAGCAGGAACGCAUCGCGAAGCUAAAUAUAAAGUGACGUGCGGUGCACCAGGAUUUGAGAAAAAUGCACCCAAAAAUCGAAAAUCGGUUAGAGUUGAUGCAGUUAGGAUCAGUUAAGAAUGGCCCACAGAAGUUGGGACAUGGCCGAUUGUGGGGAAUAACUAAAUAAAUAACCGGCGGGACUAUAAAUAGUAAGAAGACGCCUGACAAAUGGUCUUUUUUUCCUGAGAAUAAGAAAACCAAUUUAUUUUCGUGCACUUUCUCGUUUUCUAGGAGUAGUCUACUUGUAAUUUUUCUUUCCCUUAUAUUUCUUACUUUUCUGGGAGUAGUUUUAAGUUAGUUUCCCUUAAGAUCAGAUGUCUUAGCGGCAUCCACUUUUCUGUAAAUAUUCAUCUUCUUUGGUAAUAUAUAUUAGCACUAUUCUGCUCAUUUCAGUUGAACCGAACAUACAGUAUAGCAUUUGAACUCAGCCGGUCAGAUCCAUCAUCAGCUGAAUCGCUUGAUUCAAUUAUGAGUGCAAACUUCGAGUGUCACUAUCAGAAGCCGCUCUACUUCUUUGUACACUUCCCGAAGAAGGACAUUUGACCGAGUCAACGGUCUUGGGGUCCAGCUCAUAAUAGUUAUGUUGUUUUCAAAUUAUCCGGCAAUAACAAGUGAAAAAAAGUCUUAAAUUGUUUUUUAGUAUACCAAGGCUACUUCUCUCUAAAUUAUCUCCCGAAAGAAAAUAGGUUGGUGUCGCAGUUCACAUUUGAAGUAUCGAGAUAAAAGGAUGCAGCACAAUCUUCCCAGACCCUUUAUAGUCCACAUGCAUGUAAUGAAUAGGUGUUGUGCGAUCUCAUCAUCUAAGUUGCAUAGAAUGCAACAGGUAGUCUUCGUUUUUAUAUUCAAGAUGAAAGUGUUUUGUCUUCUCCCCAAGGUAGCAUUGCCGAGCGGGCGAUCCCUUUUUUUGAUCCUGAGGAUCUACUUCAAUUCCUCGGUGUAUAACUAUGAAACCGAGGAACUUGCCUGAAGUGAGACUGAAGGCACAGUCGUUCAGAAUCUGAAGAUUGCAACAGUCGUGACCCGUUGAGAUCACAGACGGUCUCGCAUUUUCAUUUGGCUUGAAGGAGGAGCCGAAGACCGGCCUGCUUGGACACUAAGUCCUUUUUCUGCCAAAAAGAAAGAGAAAUCCGCACAAUUCCCCUUCACGUAUGGUUACCUGAUGCUAUGGAAGGACCCACUCCCUUCGAAUGGUGUUGGUCCGUAGGACCGUGAACGGAUUCUUCUCAAAUUAGUUGAACUUGAAUCAUCUGUUUAGGCACCUGCUUCAAAUGGUCAACCCUUCUCUUUUUCCUAAAAAGGGAAAAGGAAGGGCUGUCUGGGGUGUUAUCGUUCCCCAAAAACCAGCAUAAAAAAUAGAUCCUGGUCUACUUUGAUGACAUCCUGUCAAGCAGAUGCUUAUUGCCUGUGAGAUAUGUAUUGACAGUUCAAAAAGAUUCGGUUGGAGUUGUCUUUCCUGGGGUCAGGAGAAAAAUAUGAGUAACCUCCUCAAAAGCUGAUUCACGGCAAGAUUUUAGGCCUAACCAAAAAGUCUUAUGUCCUCCGUGUCGCACGGCGUUUUAACCGAAAGAUCCGCCUUUGGACCUGGAACCAUACGAAGGGCGCGCUAUCCGACCCGAAAGGGAAAACGAAGUCUCAGUCGUCAGUUAGAUGAUGACACUGUUUUUUUGGAGCGAACGACCUGAUACUACCUUAUUACUUAUUUUAACUCAUUGCAUUCAAUAUUGGCCAAAUUGGGUGGUUCUUACUAGUUUGGAGGUAGACCCGCGGAUCGUCCCUAUUCUCUCUUUUUUCUUGCCAAGAUGCUAUGGCGGGCGUACUAGGAGUUAGGAACUCGCCUGCAUGAAGCCGGAAUUGCUAGUAAUCGCCGCAAUCACAUUUGCCUUUGCCUCAUAUUCCAGUCUUAUCGUAAUUUCGUACUUGAAUUCAUCUCUUGUGAAGUUGUCUCUGCUUGGCGGGACAUAAUUCAACCAGAAAAUAAGGAGCCGUAUUGAUUUUCGGGUAAAAUAGGAAGAGAUGAAUCUGGCAUUGGUGACAUUUCUUGGCGUAUUCAACGCAAUCCUUAGCCAGUUUACCCAAGGUACUAGCUAUCCGACUUAGACUUUUUUGUUUGAGUCCUGACAAGUGCAAUUCCCAAUUCACACACAUGGGGACAUCUAACGAAGGAUUCUUCGCUUACCAAACCAAUUGCAAUUAAGUCAUUCGAACAUAAACCAAAAACGGUAGCCUUCACUUCAUCUUCGCUAGGUGUGAAAUCCCAUUGUAUUCGAGGAGUAAAGGAUUUGCUGGGAGAAAAUUCUCUUGACAGUCAAAUAUCUCAUUUUAGGUUUUUCGCUAGUAGGACGCCCGAUUCGAUCGACGAAUUUGGCUAGCUGAUCAAAAAAAGAAAUAUUUGAACUAUGAUUCAUACCUACUAUUUAUUCAGACCUCGCGGGAGACCCAGACUUUUAUACUUCAAUACCCUAUGUGCCGGAGUGGCUUUGAUAGGUAGAAUGCUCAUCUAGCCGGAAUUAAGAUAAUGCUUACUCCCCACAUUCCUUUUCAGGAGAAGAGUCUUUUGGCUAACGAACGGGAACCAGGGAAGUUAGCCUUUCUUCUUUCUUUGCCGGUCUUUUUCUUUUCUCAAAUAUGAAUUGGCAAACAAAGAAAGCGGUAGUCCUAAGCGGGCCAACGGACGGCAAGGGUAAGUAUGGCAUUUCAUUGAUCAAGAACAAUCUAAAAAUUAAGUAAGAUGAUAAACCAUGAGUGAGUUCUUGUUGCAUUCUCAAACCUACCUUAGCUUAGCAGGCUCAGUACAGCAUGGUUCAGGUAGGUUCGAGAGCCCAUCUAGCUCAACUCGAGCUUCUUGAUGAAUUGCGUUUAAAGGCAGUUGAGCACACUCAAGCCUAUCAGAAGCGGAUGGCACGACCGAAGGAAGACGCACCGAGAUCCUACUUCUUUCUUCGUUUUCAACUACUUAUUUUCCAGGCCCUUGUUCUCACCGCGUCAGUUUGGGAUUCCAUUUUGGAUUUCUGCCAUUCCUCUCUGUCAACUCGAAGUCUAAGGCAAGGAACUUUCAAAUAUACAUAUUGCUCACCCUUAUAGCUUAUAGGGCACUUUAUCCAUAUUUUUCAUCCGCUUCCGAAAUGGAUAUCUAGCCGGGCCAAUACUCACUUCCUCAAAAGAGAGAGCCCGCUAUAAGCCCGUGAUCGGCCCUUCAACCCAAGAGGGAUAUGACGAUUGUCUGGAGCGAUUUCUGACCGAUAAUGGAUCCUCUAUCCCUAGUCUACUUCAAAACGACUCCUACAGGCUUAACGGCUUGCUCGUAUUGGUUCCGUUUAGGCCUUCAUCUUAGUAGCGUGAUGUUACCGGUUAGUUCAACGAUCAAUAGUAGUUUCCAACCUAAGUUACCGGGGCACUUAAGUGCCCGUAGCGGAAGGAUAUAAGUCUCGGGAAGGGGAGAGGUGCAGGGGGGGGAAACAGUUUCCCACCCAAUGUAAAAUUGUUCCUCCUAAAAAGAUUAUUCCAGAAUAAAUGGGCAAUAGUUAGGAGAGGUGCGCCAGCGGCAUCAGUUUCCUUGUCAUGGAAAGUUUCAGCAUUUUCCCACUCUCAAUUGAAUUACCACAGCCUCAUAAAAAAUUGGUUGCUGUUCUCUUCUCCAUCACUGCCAUGAUUUCCCCAUCUUUUCUUCUGCUCUUAAGUCCCUGAACUUAUAAAGUCUUGUUUCCACCUCUAACGCCUCUCCUCUGGCGCCGGGAACCAGAACCACGGCUACUGCUGCCUCCUCUGACGACCCUUGCUAUGUCGGUAAAUGGAUUGGGGGGCUAAUGCACCCUUAGAGGUUUGGGAACUUCUUGAAUUGACCUAGCCUGUUGUCUUACUAGUGGACUCUUGAACUGAGUGAUGAAAAACCACUGUCAGAUCCACCGGAAUGAUCCUUUUUGUUUUUCAAAAAAAAAUCAUCAUGGAAGCAUUCUCAAACAUAAUGGUCGUAGAGUCUAUAGGUUCGAUAACCUUCUCUCAAGGAUUCCACCAAGUCAUAAGGAAACCCGUAACCGUCACUUAAAAACGGAAGGUGGCAGUGGUCUGAGGGACAGCCAAGGUAAUGUUAUUAAUUUGCAUUCUACUCCUUCUUUGGUAGCGGAUCCAGCUUUUUUGCAGAACCCUAAACCCUAAACCCUAAACCCUAAACCUUAGGGAGGAAAUAGUUUUCCACCCAUGUGUUAAGCAAAUGCAUCCGAUCACUAGUUCCAUAGGAAGAAUUCCUUUCCCAUUUAAUAUUUCGAGAUCGAAAUUGUUUUGGUAGAUAAUAGGAAGUCAAAAAGCCAAAUCCAGGAGAGGAAGCCGAAAAAACAAAGGCUCUUUUCGUUUCUGCUUGCAGAGUCCUUCAAAAAGAAUUUGCAGACCGGGGGUCGGGGAUGUGAACCGUUCAGCAACCAAUCAGUCUAUGGCGCGCCGGGCUGUAGGUUCUCAUGGAUUUAUCUCUGCUCACGGAAAAGGCAUCAGGAAGAACAACCAUUUGACUUUGGCACAUGAUUUUUUGGCCCCGGGAGGAAACUCUUCAAGCCCCCUGAGAUACAAUGGCUUGCCCACUUGAGACCGUUUCACUCUUAUUUCCUACGGAUUGGUUAGUGGGGACUACACUUCAUCCUUAUCCUUCCCUAGGCUCCGCUCAAGGCGAUGGAUGACUAUCACUAUAAUAUUUCUAUCCCUUUUAUGAUAAUCGUAAUUUCCAGGCGAUUGAUGAUCGUAAUUUCCAGUAUGUGGCAGGAAUACCAAAAUCUUGACUAGGCGAUAAAUAAAAAAGUUCAAGGUGCCGUCCGUACAGUAAAGCGUGUGCAUUUAGAAAGGUUGACAACUUCUAUUUACUUGGCCGGAAGGUCACUUGCUUUUAGGAUAGGUUUUCAGAGAACUUUUUUUAUUUUCAUCCUCCGGCCGACAGAAUCAGGUUUUUUGCUGGCUGGCUCUCUAGUUCCAUUCGCUAGACCCGUUCCAGUGCAGAGGCUUAAUAAAAUGCUUCUGUUGUUGUUACAGCAGAGCUAUGGGAGUCGAACCCAAUCAGUGAACCAGAUGGUCGCGACGAGGGAAUCUGGGACGGAGGACUCGUAAUAUCUCUAUAGGUUGAAUUGUUCCAGAACCGCUUCCACGAAAUUUUAGGGAUUUGGGUCUGCUGUAUCAAUGCACCAGGACGGACUCCCUCUAUGGAUCUCAACUACGAUCAUAAGGAGGAACUACAAGAAGAGAUACAAUCGUGAAAUUCAUAAAUAACCCUUGCUGGGAUCCUUUUGCCCCCCACUUCAACAAGUCUAUGUGUAAGAUAUCCAGCAUCUGAUGUUCGUACAGCAAAUUCCUUAUUCAUCUUUCUUAUUCGAAACUAAAAAUAUACUUAUUUAAUAGAGUCAAAAUGUUAGAAAAUCUCCUUUUUUGAGAACUUGGCUUGCUCUCUUCUUUACCUUUAAGCCUAAUUCCUAGCUCAAGUGGGGAAGCAAAAGAAGCAAGAGAGCCUCCGACAGGACUGGAAUCUUCGACUGGAACAUUGUGUCCUUUUUCCCUUUCUGCACUAUCCAAAAUAUUCUAUUUGGUUAAUCUACAUGAGAUCAGAAGCGAAUUGUGCAAAGGCUUAUAAUUCUUUCUAAGUGGUAGGUGGGAUCGGAAAAGGUAGGCAUCUCUUCUUUGAGGAGUAUGGGUAUUUGAAAAAAAAAUUCAAAUUAGUUUGAGAUAUCAACAGACACAGAAAGAGAUCUCAAUCCUGCAAGACCGAUGUUACGAGCUUCUGGAAUCCAAUGGGAUCUUCGUAAAGUUGAUCAUUAUGAGUGUUACAAUGAAUUCGAUUGGGAAGUCCAUGUACUCUACGGAUAGAGGAAUACAUAGAGUUGAACAUAGUAAAAUAAGAAAUUGAAAGAUUUCGUUGAAAUUGUUCGUUUGGAAAUUUCCCGAAAAGUAAUUAUAGGUCCUUCUCUCCAUCGGAACAAUAUGGCCGUUAUGUUUAUUACUGAACUAGUUGAAGAGAAGCAAACCUGCUAGCAAGUCAGGUUAGAUAGUUGGGAUGAGAUAAGUAGAGGAGUACGGAAGGGGAUAUUCGACAAAGGCCAGCCCUCAGGAGAGGAGAUAUUUCAUUAGUAGUAAGCCGCUAGAGUCACCCCGAGUCAGUAAGUUGAGAUAGAAGUUAAAAUUAUGUAAUUCUAUUUUGAAAUGAAAGAGUUGAACCUGGUUACGACUGAAGAUCUCAGUCUUGAAAGAUCGUAUGUGCUCUUCUAACUCCUAUAGUUACUCGAGUAACUUCGCCUUGGUCGUCUAUAAGCUCGUGUAUGGUCUCGCCAACUGAAUUCUUUGUGCGCUUAGAAGUCGAGUCAAUUGGUGACGGUUUUUUCUUUCUCUCGCCCAAAGUGGGAGAGAUUUUGUUUGAUCUAUGUGACCAUACUGAUACAACCAUGGCUCACUUGUGUGAAGAAUUUUUUCUUCGAGAUAGGCAAUGGUAGAUGCAUCCAACCAAUUGAAAGCCUGCCCCUAUCUUUAGCUUUCACUUUAUUCGUGAGUCAUUUCUUCUCUUUUUGGCCCAGCACUAAAUAGGUGUAGAGUGCGGAGUAGCGAAGGGGCAUUGGUAGACGGUUCCCUUUCCCCCAGAUCAAUGAAGAAGGGAGAAGUCAGUUGAUUCUUCCGAAGAACCGGAAGCGAAGCGCUAUACUUGAAAGAAGGGAAGAGUCCUUCUUUCUUACCCUCUCACAUGCUUUAUCCCUAGCUUGUUACCUAGCACUUUACCCCGCUGGGAGGUCGUCUUUUUCUUUUUUAGUGACAGAAAAAUCUCAUUUAUUGGUUCAUUGUACAUAUCCAUUUUUGUUAAAGUAUCUUCUUUCUAUGCUAUGAUUUGCCCAAGUUAUGACUGACAGUCUCUUUGUAUCAAAGAAGACCUUUAUGCAGAAUAUUGAAAAGGUGGUUUUUUUCCCUUGGAGAGGAACGUAGCAGCCAAAUAUGAACACCAUGACUUGGAGUUGGAUAGCCAGUAGGUUCUAGGGCAAUCUCCUUCGUUUCGGUUUGUUUUUUUUUUCACGCCGCAUGGGCUAGUCCCUGAAAGGUUCCGUUCGGGAAAAAUCUUUCCUUUUCAGAAGGGACUUUCUUAAAGAAGUGAAAGCGCCUGCGCAUCUUUUCAUUUAGUUAACCCUCUCCGACGUCAAGAAAAUUAGUUAGGCCCCCUACCACUUGGUUGGAAUAAAAGAAAAGAGUAGGGUGAGAAGCACCUAGAUACACGGUAGAUUAAAUUUGCUCUUCUUCCCCUCCGGGGGUUGCUAGAGGGACAGGGAGACAAUGGAUUAGUAUGAUGAGCUUAGUUGCCUGACUAGUCAGCUUGCAGAGGAAGAGGCCAACAAGACCAAAAGCAGUUCGGGCAAAAGAAGUUUUGGAUAUCAAGGUAUAGGGCUAGUUUGUUAAUACCAAUACCUUAUUAAGAGAUAAUAGUAACCGAAAGAAUGAGUAAACGAGUGAAUCGGAUUCGGUUGGGUCAAAGGAUUUCACAUUCCAUAGAAUGACGGAAUUCCCCAAAUUUCCCUUUGGGGGUGGUUCACGCGACUUCCCCUGAGCGCAUAGUGAUAGGUACCGCAUCUUUCCCUGUGUCUGAGGACUCGGCUGGACCUACAUCGAAAUCGAAAGAAAAAAGUAGCAGUUUAGGAAGAAGGAUCUAGUUGAAGUGCUAGAAGUCAAAGAAGGCUUGGUGCCUAGCGAAAGCCAGUGAUUACCCUUUCCUUUGCCCCGGUCCCACACUAAACAAACGAAUAUCUCCUCGAGAUAGGAGGAGGUCCUCUUUAAAAAGUAGUUUAGUCCCAUCCGCUAUAGCUCCCACCCUUUUUUAGACUCUGACUCUGCCUCUGGGGAAGUGCUCACAUCAACUAGAAUUUGGAUGGAGCUUAUUAAGUCCCCUUCAGUCUUACCAAGUGCCUUAAGCAUAAAUAGAAAGGGGGCUAGUUUCAGUGGAUCGAUCAAAGGGGGACUGGGCUACAAAAUUUACUUGGUCCUGUUGUUCAUUUUUUUGUUGCAUAUCGAACAGAUCUAAUCAGAAUAGAGGAUUAGGGGCGACAUGACCUAGAAGUUGUACAUCAAGAAGAAUGAAGAGCACUCAAAAUUUUGUCCUUUGAAAGGAAGGGAAGUAGCUUAGGGGCGAAUAAGCUAUAAGAUUCGUUUUGGGCCGGAGCGAGAAGCCACGCUCUUGAGUCGAUUCUCAAGUCGUACCCCUGUCACCGUCUAUCGAGCAAUUGAAAAUUCAAUUAAGUAGUAGAAUAAAAGUGUGAAACGUCUUCAUUUCAAAUAAGAAGAUUAUUUUUGGUAGUAGUAUAAUUUAUAGAAUAGGAUUGAAUUGCAUAAUCAUAAAAGGAAUCGAACCAGCCCAACCAGAAACCCAAUAAUUUAUCUAGGAAUCGAAGUUUGGACCUUGGAGAGACUGAAAUUCUUUCAAGUUCUUUGGAGGAGGGCUCGCUUUGACCGUUAGGAGUAGGUAACCCGUUCCCUAUCUUUGUUUCUUUGUUUCUACUGCAUUCUAUCUCAUCGUAUCACAUUCAGUUCUAGUCCAAACCAGCUGAGCUAGCUCAUUUUUCCUGAUCUACUCUACUCUUUCGAGAAAGGUAGGGGUAAUUGCUGGGAUUAAAUGCUAGGAUUCACCUCCGGCUGACUAGUCACCCCCGGGGCAAUUAUGAGUCAUUCCCAAAAUACCUACCUUUCUCAAAUCAUAUUCCUAGCAUUAUGGAGUUGAAUAAGAAAUCCAUUAUAAGUGCCCUCGGAAAUCCAUUAUAAGUGCCCCCAGAAAUCUUGAAAGGGCCCAUUCAGGAACAAGACAAUGACAUCGUGACAGAACUGCAGAACUCAUCAGAGAGACGUGUGAUACAUGUUCCUUCUAUUUCUCCAAGUAAAAUUUUCCAUCUCAAAACGAAAGGGUGCCCGCGUCAAACACGCCUACAUCAUCAGAUUCAUUUCGAAUUUCUAGUGGUAUAAAAAUGCCGCUGGUAAAAUAUAUUAUUUUAUGUCUGCCCUUACUCCAUUAGCGCCCCGAUGGAAUGCAUUGAAGAAAGGAAUCCAAAGAUUUAAGGUCAUUUCUUCAAAUUGCUCGGGCGCAGGUGCCAGAUCCUCAAAGUAGAGUGUAGAUCAGCCUAGUGCACCAACCACGUGCUAGUGGGAAGACAAGAAGGCAGCAAUUGGAGUGCUCCAGAUUUGAAGAAUGCAGGCGUCUAUUCGAGCACUUCGGGGAACGAUAACACCCCAGGCAGCCCUUCCUUUUCCCUUUUUAGGAAAAAGAGAAGGGUUCCAAAUUGAGAUUCUGCAAUGAAGGAAAAUCGGCUUGUUCCAACCAACUUCUUUUUUCUCAAGUUGUCGGCCAUUAAGAUUUUGUUUUUACACAUUAACCACAUAAAGAUUUUUGGUUUAAGAGGGACACAUGUUUUCCAAAUCACCUUUAAAUUAGCCAUAGUAACACCUCCAUUAAUAAGAAAACAAUAUGUCAAAACUACAGAAAAAUUUCGGCUCGCUAUUCAGUUCCAAAUAAUUCGAUUGUCGACAUAUUAAAAAUAUGUUUGCUGCACCACCCUCACAAGCUGGGUGAGGUCGUUAUAAGCAAUAAGAGUAAGUGGGCUAUGAAAUUGCCCAUAUAACUGUUGCGAAGUGAGAUUGACCCAGUGCAUGAUGGUAGCAAAUUUAUUGUGUCGCCUUGAAUAAUUUAGGGUAAAGAUUUUGGGAGCUAUUGCCAUAUAGUCUCAUUUUAAAAAAAAAAUCACCAUUUUAGCCUUUUUUAAAAAUAAUUUUUAAUCUGGCCUCAUUUAAACUAAUUAGUAAAAAAGUAAUAUCAAAAAAUUUAUUUUAUUGCUAAUUACUUUCCAAUCCUAUCUCUCUCUCUCCCUCCCUCCCUCCUUCCCUCCUCCACCACCCCCAACUUCCAAUUGAGCUCCUUUAUGAUCUCUCCCAUCAACCCGUCACCCCCGCCUCCGCCUCCUCCCUCCUCACUGGUUCACCUUACCGCCAACAGCCACCACCCUGCCAUCCAUCGCCUCCUUUCUCUCUCUUUUCCCCUCGUCCUAUUCUCUAUCAUUAGGCGAGAAAAAAUACUUUUAUUUCAAGAAUUAUUUUGAAAUGAAACAACAAAAGUUCAUUUGAUAUAACAAAAAUUUCUUUGCUAUCUCCAAGUUAUUGAUGGAAAGAAAAAAAAUACUAUAUUCGUUUGCUAUCCAUCUAUCUAUCUAUAUAUUUAUCUAUCCAUUAUUAUUAUUAUUAUUAUUAUUAUUAUUAUUAUUAUUAUAAUGGUUUUGAAUUUAGGAUUGCGUGGAAAAGAGAACACGGAGGGUUUGUACGACAGCAGAUGAUUGGGUGGCGGCAGUGAGCAGCAGCGGUGAGGAAGGGCAUGCAGGGUGAAAGGUGGAAGGUAAGGGUAAGAGAGAGAGUGAGAGAGAGAGAGAGAGAGAGAGAGGCAAUGGGCGGCAGGGUUCACAGUGGCGAGAAGGGAGGGAGUUAAGGGUGGCGGGUUGGUGGGAGAGAUAGAGAGAGAGAAAGAGAGAGCUUAGUUGGAAGUUGGGGGCGGAGGAUAGAGGAAGGGAGAGAGAUGGGAUUGUAAAGUAAUUAGCAAUAAAAUAAGAGCAAUGCUCCUAUGCACCGAACAAAUCUCAACCAUUAAAAUUCUUUAAAUGGACGGUAACGAUAGACCUAUUAAAAGAGGGUGACCGGCACUUGGGGGUAUAGGUACCGGUCACCACUUUAAUAAGGGCAAAAUUUUGUUUAUUAACAUGGAAUUUGCAGUGCGGAUAUUUUGGCAAAUUUUCAUCCUCAUAACAUGCCAUUUUUGUAAAUUUAGAAUAUUCCACCUUCCUUCAUUUUUAUCCUCCAAUAUUCCAUCUUUGUAUUAUUACCUUUCCUAAAUUAAACCUUAUGUCUUUAAACCAUAGUUAGUUAAUUCGAUUACGAUAAAAAUUCGAUACGGAUAAAAUACGAAUAAAAUUCGUAUCUUAAUUUUUAAGUUCGUUGACAAAUACGGUUUAAAAAUUAGAUUCGCCAAUAAUUCGUAUACGCGAUUUAUACGAAAAUUUUACGUUUAUCAUUUAAAAAUUCGGAAUAAAAAUUUGUUUAUUUAAUUAAAAGUUUUUUAGAUUUAUGCUAUUAUCAUGCAUAAAUAAUUAUAAUUCUUAUAAAAUAUAAAAAUAAAAUUGGAUAUAUAUAUAUAUAUAUACACACACAACACACACACACACACAAAAAGGGGAAGUGGAGCGAGAGGUCCACCGUGGACCUCUCACUCCACACAGUACACGAGGCUGAGUGUAGCCUCGUGGACCGCNCACUUGCACUAUGUAUUAACUCUCUCUCUCUCUCUCUCUCUCCCUCUCUUUCUCUCUUUCUCUCUCUCUCUCUUCCUUCCUUUUUCUCUCUCAUAUAUAUAUAUAUAUAUAUAUAUAUAUGUGUGUGCCUGUGUGUGUGCAGGAGGAUGUGUUUACAUACAGAGAUAUGGGUCUACGUACGUGCGCAUGCAGGAGGGGUGACACGUGUGGGGGAAUAAAGGGAUAGGUGGUUCGCUGGGUUUUCGAUUGCUUUCCAAAUAGGGGGAGAGAAUCGAUUCUUAGAUGUGCACAGUAAUCACAGAAUCCUUCAGGAACUCUCCAAAAGACACAAUCAAAAAAAAAUGUAGAGAGCUUUGUCAGCUGGGUUUUGCGCCACCUCAGGCCCUUGUGCUCAAGAAUAUAACCGCCUCUCCCUGAUAAUAUAUAACUUUUGGGUUACCUUGCAUCAUUAAUAGUUAUUGCUGGCUUAAAUUAAGGAGGCAACAUUCUGUUCUGUGACGAAAGGUUAGGUUAAGCUGAGGCACGUUCAGGAUGUCGGAUUGUUCGCUCUAUUUAUUAAUUUCAAAAGCGAUCAAACUGUUAUAAAUACACAACCAAUUUACUUAAAGCGUACAGACAUAGCUAGCGUCCAUGGGUCGCAAUUAUGACUUAGCCCAAUUAGCCUCACACCACUUCGAAUAUUAUUCAACCAAGCCUAUCUUCCGCCAUUUUGAACACGACUCGGUCUAAUCUGGCCUCCCGUCACAGAACAGGAUACUGACCCAACAAUGUUGUAUUAUCAACUGGAUUACAUAUAAUUUUGGCAUGAUAAUAUUUACCAAACAGGGCUAUGACAAUAAUUUAUCCAUUCCAAUGCUAAUUCUAGCAUAUUAGAGCUAAUAAAAACAAACCACAAAACUGGAGUUCCUUAGUAAAGAGAACAGAUGUGAACCAUCAGAUCAUAUUUAAUUUGGAUUUAGUUUGCAUAAAUUAAUUAUAAUCCAAUAGUUCACACAUGCCCUUCUUAAUAUUAGGAAGGCCCCAAUGAAUUUUUAUGCUAUAUAUAUAUAUAUGCUCACAAAACUUUUUUUUUUGAGAGAAAGAUAGCAUGCUAUUCAUUUUAUUUAUUUUCUUAAAAAAUAAAUUUAACUGAAAAUGUAAAUUAAUUAGAAUUCGAACUUAUGAUCUCGGGUACCAACCUUCAAGCUCUUUGCCACUUACAAUAGGAACGGUUGGUACAAAACAAACUUCAUUGUAGAGUUCCUCAAUAUGGAGGAUAAUAAAAAAGAGCAAUGCUCCUAUGCACCGAACAAAUCUCAACCAUUAAAAUUUUUUAAAUGGACGGUAACGAUAGACCUAUUAAAAGGGGGUGACCGGCACUUGGGAGUAUAGGUACCGGUCACUACUUUAAUAAGGGCAAAAUUUUUUUUUAUUACAUGAAAUUUGCAAUGAAGGCAUUUUGGUAAAUUUUUAUUCUCAAAAUAUGCCAUUUUUGUAAAUUUAGAAUAUUCCAUCUUCCUUCAUUCUUAUCAUCCAAUAGUCCAUCUUCGUAUUAUUAUCUUUUCUAAAUUAAACCUCAUGUCUUUAAACCAUAGUUAGUUAAUUCGAAUACGAUAAAAAUUCGAUACGGAUAAAAUACGAAUAAAAUUCGCAAUUUUAAUUUUUAAGUUCGUUGAAAAAUACGGUUUAAAAAUUAGAUUCGCCAAUAAUUCGCAUACGCGAUUUAUACGAAAAUUUUACGUUUAUCAUUUAAAAAUUCGGAAUAAAAAUUCGUUUAUUUAAUUAAAAUUUUUUUAGAUUUAUGCUAUUAUCAUGCAUAAAUAAUUAUAAUUCUUAUAAAAUAUAAAAAUAAAAUUGGAUAUAUAUAUAUAUAUAUACACACACAACACACACACACACACAAAAAGGGGAAGUGGAGCGAGAGGUCCACCGUGGACCUCUCACUCCACACAGUACACGAGGCUGAGUGUAGCCUCGUGGACCGCGAUAUUUUCCUACACGUAGUCCACGAUUUCUUCUUCCUCGCCACUCCUCUUUUCUUUUUUUGCUUUAGAAUUAUUUAGUUUAAAUAGUUAACAAAUUUUAUUUUUUUAACUAUAAUAUAAANNNNCUUUUUUGCUUUAGAAUCAUUUAGUUUAAAUAGUUAACAAAUUUUAUUUUUUUAACUAUAAUAUAAACUAAAUCUAAAUUUAAAAUUUAAUUUUAAUUAAUAUUUUUAAACUUUAAUGUUAUUUUUACUAUCGAAUGAACAAUUUGAAUUUAAUUUUAAAAUAAAAGCCUUUAAUUUAAAUAAAAAAUAAAAGUUAUGUUUAUAAAUAGAACAUAAUUUAUAAUUUAAAUUAAAUUAAUAUAUUUGAAAUUUCGUGUCAUUUUAAUAUAUCAAAUAAACAAUUUGAAUUGAAAUAUAGUAUUCAUUUAAACAUAAAUUUUUUCAUUCUGAAAAUAAAAAUAAAAAUUAAAUUUGAAUUUAAUGUACACAAUUAUAAAGUUUAAGCUCAAAUUGAAUUUUAAAUUCAAUUUAUAAAGGUUUAUUACUUAUCAAAUUAGCACUAUCUAAUUUGGUAAGUAACAAAAUUAAACAAGGAAACAAAUAUUUGUAUAAGGCUGAUCAAAUUUGAUAAUUAGCUUGUAUUUUUUUUUCCCAUAUUAUCCUUACGAAUAGUAACCUGUUAAGCAGGUAACCACUAUGAAAAAGUUAAUCUCGCCCUUAAAAUAUGAACGGUUAGAUUUAUUUUACCUGGUGUAUUGAAGCAUUCCUCAUAAAAUAAAAUUUUUAAUAAUAUUUUUUAUUAAAUAGCUCAAAAGAGACUAGAUUAAAAAUUAUUUUUGAAAAAAGGCUAGAAUGAUAGUAUUUUUUUUCAAAUGAGGCUAUAUAGGAAAAUAGCUCAAAUUUUGGAAGCUAAUGCCACUUCCCCAUCGACAUAACUAGAAAUAUGUAGACUUCCCAUCGCCUAUCUUCCAAUUUGCUGAGGUGUGAAAAAUGCUCGAAGUUUUUGUCACUUCUUCCAGAAUUGUGAAAUUGGACAUAAAAUGGAGUUAUGUAGGAAACAGGGUAUUCUUCCUGUAGAACGCAGCGGAAGUAUUUGUUCGUACCUUUUUGCGGAAGCGAUUCGCGCUACAACGCGACGAGACUGGAUUGUAGAGGUUGAUUCACGUGUCCUCGGAUCGUCUGUUACGUACCUGACUCGGCGCAACCCGCCGAUGAUGAGAUAUCGCUGAGAUGAAGGACGGCGUCGAGGAUGAUGAUACACGUAACAGCUUGCCUCGGAUGUAUCGGAUCAGAAUUGGGGUAAUCGAUGAGUUGAUGGGAAGAAUAGUAAGAUGAGAAUAGAAAGAAGAGAAUAGAAAAGAUGGGAAGAGGUAGGAUUAAGAAGAGGGAUUAAGAGAAUUAAGAGAUGUGAGAAAGAAGAAAUUUCAUUAAUUUGCCUAACCUCAAUCUCUGUUACACGCUGCCCUUUUAUUGCUACAAGAAUAAAAAAAUAAAAUAAAAACCCUAACUCUAAGUGGGCUUCAACCUUCCUUCGCGGCCCAUCCCUUCAGAAAUAUGAAUUACCGAAACUGGGCCUCGGCUGGCUUGUUUGGAUCAAACUGUAUGAUAAGCGGUAAGCGGUUCGUGGGUCCGCCUAAUCCGCACUAUCCACACCCGGGCGGGGCUUGGGUUCGUGUUUUGCCUUCGAUCCGGAAUACUGCCCAUCCGACCCGCAAGGCUUCCAUCUUCCCCAACCUUAGAUCCUGUCGGACUUCUUCCCCCCCUUCGGUCUCCCACACUCCGAUGCCUCUCCUCUUGGGCAUGGUUCCAGAAGGUUGAAGCUCUCUCUCCUGUGGAAUGAAGCAAAGAAAAGCUAAGCCCUCUCCCACUUGUACUUAUUCUACUAGACCUCAUCACUAAUACUACUCCUAAUCCUCUCACUAUGCUUGGCAGGCGUAACAUCGUCCUUGAAAGUCUUCUAACACUCCAAACUCGCGGUGGAUCGAACUACAAACGAGCACGAUCGCAAAUCCACCGUUCAAGACCCUCUAGAAUAAUAGGUGCGUAAGAGAUAAGGCCAAAUCGGUUAUUAAUUGUUAUCCUAAUGUGAUUAGAAUUUAUCUCUAAUUAGCUUUUCAAUUUAAAAGCGAGAUUAAUCCUAAUCCAAUUAGACAAUAUGAUAACCGUCGGAUUGAACCCGAUUAUGGGCGCACCAGAUUCGAUAACCGAAUGCCAACACUUCUAUUGUAAUAUGUGGAUUUGAUUAGCUUUACCCAAGGUGCGUCCUUUUCUACAAAGAACUUCCACCACCAAUGACAAGGAAUGUAGUGUUUUGUGCUUUUAAGCUUUUCAACCAAGUCCUCCCAUGUACUUUGGUCGACAAACUAUCUUCCAUUGAGCAAGGCAACGACCACCCAACACUUCUAGAUUUUCGUUCCAAAAAAAAUGACUCCUUACUUUGUCUAUCCUCGCAAUAACCCAAGAUGGUAGCUUGAAGUUUGCCAUGAAGAAGCUUGGGAGAUUGCGUAGGACCAAAAUAAGGAGGGUAAGCUGACCUCCUACAGAAAGAAGAAUACAUUUCCAACCUGUUAAUCGAUUGUCAAACUUCUCUAUUAGAGGCAUGUAAUCUCGUCUUCUUAAAGAGUGUGGUGUCAGGGUAAGCCUAGAUAGUUAAUUGGAAAAGAUUGAGUUUUGCAUUGUAAACUCUCCAAUAAUGUGGUGGUUUCCUCCAUAGUAAGAUUGAUGGGCACUAAUAUGCUCUUGUGAAAGUUGAUUCGCAAUCCCAAGCUUGAUUCAAAGCAUUCAAGCAGAAAUUUGAUAAUAAUGGCCUGCCUGUGUGAGUUGUCAAUAAAUAACAACAUGUCAUCUGUAUAUUGUCGGAGAUAGAAUACGUUAUCCGUUCUGAAUUUUUUUUUUUUUUAAAUCGUGAAUCAUUGCCCUUUCAAAGAUUCUCUAGCAUGUGACGACUAGGUUAAACAGGAGUAGCAAGAGCAGUCCCCCUGACGAAGUCCUUUCCGGUAUUGAAAGCUUUUUCCAAGAACACCAUUAAUGAGAAUUGCAGUAUUACAUGAUUUGAAAAUGCACCUGAUCUAUGAUAUCCAUUUGUUCCCAAAGCCUCUGGCAACUAACAAAUUAUAGAGGAAAUCCUAGUUUACGUUGUUGAAUGCUUUUUCAAGGUCAAUUUUCAGCAAUGCUGCUUUCACUUUGAUCAUGUGCAGCAGUAGGUGGAUCAUUUCAUAUGCCUAUGCAAAAUUGUUUGAGAUAACCUUAUCUUUUAUGAAGGCUGAUUGGAAUGGAUUAAUAAGUUGAGAGAUAAUAGUUUGUAGCCUUCCGAUAAGGACCUUCUAGACAAGUUUUCCAAUGAAGUGAAUAAGACUUAUAGGUCUAUAGUCUUUAAUUCCACUAGCUUCGGGCACUUUUGGGAUUAAUGAGAUCCAAUAGUUAUAAGAUUUGACAUAUUGGCAUUACCUCUAUGGAGAACUGAGAAAAUAGCUCCAAAGUCAUCUAAUGUCAUGCACAAUAACAUUCCAAAAGUGUUGGAAAAAGAUCAUCAGAAACCUAUCUAGCCUCAGUGCUUUAUCUAGUGGGGAGAAGAAAAUUGCAUUGUUAAGUUUCUUCCUUCGUGAACUCAUUUUCAAAUAAAGAAAGGUCCACCUGUGGGAUGCCAUACAGGUUGGAAAAGUCGAUAGUAGUAAUAGGGGUAAAUUCUAUAUCCAAUAAUUUAGUAUAGAACUCACAGAAAAGUCUAGUUAUAUCCUACUAUGUACUUGUUGUAGCAUUUAAAUCAUUGACUGCGAUAAUGUAAUUUCUUCUUCUUCUACUAUUAGCAUAUUGGUGAAAGAAUUUUGUAUUGCCAUCGCCCUCCUUAAGCCAAGUGAUGUGAGAGCAUUGGGACCACUUUAGCUCUUCAAGAUGUUCCACUCUUUUUCGUAGAAGGCACCAAACUUUGAAUUCCUCCUCAUUUAGCCUGCUUGCUUCUUCAAUUAUGUCGAGACGAUUGAUCCAUUUCUUACAUUCUUGUCAUUGUUUGGAAAUAUUUCCUACUUUAGUUUUACUCCAGUUGGACAAGGCAUCUUGCUUGGCCUUUAGCUUGAAGAGAAGAUUUUGCGAUGGGUUGGAAUUAUCUGUAGUUUAGUUCCACAAUGUUAUUUACUCCUCCGUACUUCAACCAACAGGUUUCAAACUUGAAGAAAUUUGUAGCUGGUAUUGUUAUUUGACAAAAAUAACGAAAUUAGGGCAUGGUCCGACGUAGCACAAGGAAGAGAAGAUAAUAUAUAAUUCAGGCAGGCGAAGUUCCAUUCAUUGUUUAUAAGGCAUCUGCUCAGCUUCUCUAAAAUGGGGUCCAUUCUUCUACUAGACUAAGUGUAGCAUCGAUGCUUUAGUGGGAUUUCAAUAAGUUGCAGCUCACUCACCAGAGAUCUGGAUUUAAGCAUUUCAUUGAUGCUAGUAGGCAUUGUAUUUUUCUCCCUGAUCGAUAAAAUAAUGUUAAAGUGCACAAUCAUGCAACAAGAUCCGAUGAAGUGUGAUAUGAUUGAUAGCAACUCCGCAAAGAAUUCAUUCCAUGGUUCCAAAUCGUUUGGCCCAUAGACAUUAGUGAUCAUAAAAGGGUCUCCUCUUGCUCGAGUUUUGAGAACCACUGUAAUUGAGAUACUGUCGACGCAUGGGUGAGAGAUGUCAAAAAAUGUGCUAUUCUAGACAGUGAUGAUGCCUCCUUUAGUUCCAAUGGCAUUAAGAGUGAGGAAUUUAUCAAAGUGAUUUCCAUAGAAUGAUUUUAUAAGUGAUAAAUCCGCGAAAGUAAUUGGUUUCUUGCAAGCACACAAUUUUAGGUUUGCAUCCCAUAACAGCGCUUCUCACGACAAUAUGCUUCUAUGGUCCAUUAAGAACCUGUACAUGCCAAGACAAAAAUGGAAAGAAACUUUACUCUAGUCAUAAUAAAAUAGACAAAACCUAAUAUACAUGCCAGGACAAAAUGGAAAGAAACAUUACUCUAGUCCUAAUAAAAUAGACAAAACCUAAUAACUCGACAAGAAGUACCACCCAAUGCCUGUUAGUAUUAAUUUGAUUUUAAGUGAUUUAAAACUUCUUUAUGGCCCAUGGGCUUCUUGGGCAGCCCAACAUCCAAUAGGCUUUGUUUGGGAGCCCGCGCAUAAGUUUCUACAUGUGAGUUUAGUCCCACAUUGGAAACUCAUGACUUGUUGUUGUUACUUUAUGUUUUCUGUCAACUUCAAGCUCGUUGCUUGGAUAAGAAUAAGAAUAGUGCUUCCCACAAAACACACACAAGCACAAGCCCAGCGGGGCCGGGCCAAGCGGGCGUCGGCGUGCCCGGCCUUGGCUACUUGGUUCGAUUCAUUUUAUCUUUUUUUAGGUUUUUAUAUUUUAGCUUAAAACCUUAGCUGAACCUACUUGGGAAUUGGUCCUAUGGGCUGCCCAAGGAUCAGCUUAGUAACUCGAGAGCUGCUACUCGGUAAGGUCCAACGGCUAAGCCGAGACAAAGCCGUUGGACCCUACCUCCCAUUAGCUGCAUAAGGCAACAAAUCCUACUGGCUCCUAUCAGUAUACUAGAGAAUGGGGAGAAGAGGUUAAGUACCUUUUACCUUGUUUCAUCUUCUCUCUAAUACUUCUUCUACUCUUAGCUUUAACCCAAGUUUCUUCUAUUGCACUUAUUUUGCUAGAUGUCUGAAAGUUCGCUUGGUUCGAAUUGCAUCACCCUGAAGAUGUGCUGGGGGGUAGACAAUGGUUGUUCUAUCGCUAGAGAUGAUUGCCGAAGUCUUGCAUGUGGAGGGGAAAUCUUGCUUCUAGGUCUAUGCCUAGCAUGCCUCAACUCACAGGCCUCAUUCAAUCUUUACAUCUCUAUAAUAUUUCUUGGAUGCAUUUUUAAAUAGUUGUUUGAACUUCUUAUUCAAAAUAUUUGCAAAAGGGAUACAAUUUUAUUAAAAGAAUAGAGAGAUUCUGCCAACAUUCUAAAGGCGAGAUUAUUUCAUCUUUCUAUUUCUUUUAGUAUCGUAGAUAAAAUAUUAUAUCGCUAUAGGUUAAAAUAUAUAUCCUAUUGUUGAUAUUGCAUUGUUCAUCUAUAUAGUAGUGACAUUAUAGUUGUUAUAAAAUUAUCUCUGUUAACAUAGAUAACAUACUAUCACUGAACAUAACCUAGAAUACUUUACUGUUAUUUUUCUAAACUUUAGUGCAGUCUUGUGACAUUAUUGUAGGAUUCUUUGUAAACAGAUUCAUCUUAAUGGAGAAUUCGUAUUUAGCGAACCCUUUUAUAUUUAAGAGGUGGCAAAACCAAAUGAGGUUCAGGCUCACCACACUUGGGUUUGUUUCUACUAUCUCGGAUCCUAUCGGGAAUAGCAAUAGAUCUAUCUGCACCUCAAGGUGCAAUCCAGACUGUGGUCAAUAGACUUUAUACUCGGAGCCAAGCCCAGGCCGGAUCUACUCCUCCUGUUGAAACUGCAACUACACCUGCACCUGUAGUUGCACCUCCUCUUGACCCUAAUAUGAUCAACUAUCAUUGAUUGAAUCGAAUUCUUAGUACCCUAUCUAACAAAUUUUAUGAUAUAUACUGUAGUGCUAAAACAGCUAGAUAACUUUGGAUAUCUUUAGAAAACAAGUAUGGUCAGGUUGAUCCCACCCAGAAAAGAUACCAAGCUCCGAUUUAAUUAAGUUCAAGUUGGUAGAAAGUAAAACUAUGUUUGACAAACUUUAUAAUUUU
rnacentral:lncRNA from 1 species